UAGCAGCCCGAGCCAGACGACCAGACGACCAGACCUAGCCACGCGACGUGAGUUCCAGACCUCCAGGGAGCCGAGGCAGCCGCCGCCACCGGCCGGUGACUCCCCUCCAGUCCCCUGCUCGGCUGCUCCCCUCCCCUGACUUCGGCGCUCCCAUCCAGUCCCCUGCAGGCUGCAGCCCUGCUCGCCUGCUCGGCUGCGCUCCUCGCCUGGCUCGCCUGCUCUGCUUCUCCAGCCGGGCGCGGGGCGCCGCCGCGCCGGCUCUGCUCCUGCGCUGCUCCACCCUCCAGUCCUGCCGGCCUCUCCCGCCUCCCGGUCUCCCCCGGGCAACUGCUGCCCCGACUGCAGCCGAGAAUUAAAAGAUGAAGAUAUUUUAUUCAUCGGUGGCCGCAAUGGAAGUGUCUAAAUUUUUGGUGCAAUUGAGCCAUAUUUGAGAUAUUCUUUUGAGGUAGCUAUAGCCUGAUGGACGUUAAGUUUUUCUCUCGCGACGAAUUUUUUUUUUUGGGCCCGGGGCUUGCUCCAAUCCUGGCUCCGCCACUGGUCCCAGCUAUGUCCGACCUUUCUCAUUCCCUUCACUCUCAUCAGCUCCUCCUCUCGGUUUGAUUAGCCUCCCCAUCUGUCCACACUGCCAGUCCCUGGUUUCUACAGGUUUGUGAGACUUCAAGGUUUACAAGCUAGUGUGGCUUUAGUUGAGUGAGUGGAGACAGGUCAGGAAUCACCUCCCUAUUCAGCUAGGCUACACCAUCUUGAGAUUCAACCUGAACCAUGUUCCUUGAAAAGACAAGAGUAAACGGGAAAACUUACUUUGGGUUCAUAUGAUGCAGACCAAGAAUAAACGGUGCAGAUUUGGCUAGCAGCAAAAGAUGAAUGAAUAUAGUGAUGGAAAGCCAAAUUUAAAGUGUUAGCGGGAAACAUUGUGAUGCUCAGAUCUUAUGUGCCUAUUUUGAGAGCAGAAAAAUACGGAAAAUCAGCAUCUGAAGCUAAAUAAAAUGCACACACUAUCCUCUUCUUCUGUGUAGGUACUGAUCUUGGUGUCGAUUCCUACCUGAGCCAUCAGACACAACUUCGGUUGGUCAUAGGUUUCUUGGCUCUUUAGGUAUGUGUGCUAGCACUUCAUUAAGGGUUUAGAUGACCAUGCACAGGGUACAUCUUCUCCUUUCUCCCCAUGUACUUAAUUAGCUUGUGCAAUGAAUGCUGAAUUUGGACAAUAGUGAUUUAUUUGUGCAGUCCAUGCUUAAAAAUUGAAAAACGAAAAGAUGACAUGAUGGGUUUCAACAGUGAUAGUGGUUGUUUAACUCUCCUUUGUUGAACUGCACUAUUUUGUCUACUAAAUUAUGGUCAAUAUUCGCUUCAACGCCGGUUGUAUUCACCUCAAUGCGGGUUAAAAUGAAGUAAAUAUUGUUCUGUAUUUCUGUGCUCCCGUUGUAUUCACUUCAACGCCGGUUGCAAUUUUCUACGAAAAUGACUUCUGAGACUUGUAUUAAAUGUUUUUAACAUCUGGUGGACCUUUUUGAUUUAGAGGAUUUGGGCCAGGGAUUCAAGAACUAAUGGUUUUCAUCCACACGUGUUUUAUUACGAUGCUAUCAAAAGCAGGGGUACAUUUCCUUAUGUUCACUUCCCUUUCUAUCUUAUGAAUAAAUUUGAAACAUUCUUCUGUUUUGCACUGUAGUUUAAUUUAGGAGUCAGGAUUGCCAACUCAUUAAGCAUCUAUGAAGUUACAAUCAAAUGUGUACAUAGUUAGAUAUCUUUGCCCAUUUUUUAACCUUGAAUGACAGUUGAGAGAAGCUCCCACUGCCUUAUAAAAUAAAAUCUUGCUUUACAUAAUUACAUUGGUUGGUUGUUGAGGGAACUCCCAACCAGAGGGGUAGUUGCAAAGGAAAACUAGAAAAGAAACUAGGGCCUAGGCGGGGGCAAGUGGAUAGGGUGACUCAGAGAGAGUCCACAAACGAGGUAAUGAAGGGUACUAGCCAUUGUGCAAAACUUGAUGGAUGGCCCAUAUAUUGCUUGUUUAACAGAUGAAAUUCAAGAAUUUAUGGCAUGCAUAAUAUUUGAUUAUAAUGAUCUGUACAUAUACAUUAUGCAUAUGCUAACUGCAGUAGCGACAAAGAGUGGCUGGUGAGUGUGAAACAGAGCGCUUUGCACGCGCCAGCACGAUCAUGUGCAUGCCAGAUCAAUUUUGAAGCCUGGCUGAUGAAUGGCUAGCUUAUAUGGUUCUGUUCUUGUAGGCUGAGGUUUUCUUUCUUGGGCAACUGAGGCAGAAGAACCUGGUAAAUUGGUUGAGCAGUGCUAUGAGGAUGAACACAGGAUGCUGGUGUACAAGUUCAUGAGCAUUGGGAGCCCUAAGACACACCUCUUCAAAAGUAUAAAUUGCUCCCUUCCGUGGAUGACAAGGAUAAAAAUCGACAAGGAUGAAGAUUGCUAUUGGCGCGGCUAAGGGACUUUCUUGAUGCUAUCUCGCCAGUGAUCUACAAGGCCUACAACGUCUUGCUCGACUCGCGCGGGCUAUAACGUCAGUCUGAGCCUCCACGAGCUCGAUGCCCUCAGGGACCAGCACUCUACACGCUUGCCGAUGCAGUGGUCGUUUAGGUUGACUCGACGACUAGGUAGCAGCAGGAGCGGAUGUGAAAAAGCGGUGGUCAUCGAGGUCAACUUGACCUGCUAAGGGCCCGUUCGGAUCGUCUCCAGCUUCUAGCUUCGUCAUCUCCGCGCAUGGAGCAGGCCCGAACGCCGCAACUCCUAGAAGCUGGCUUCGUGGAGCAGCGUUGCCUCGCAGUGCAAAAACAAGAAGCAGCUCGAACCCGGCUCCCAAAAAUCGGAGGAGACGGAGUUGGGCAUUAUUACCCGAUAUGCCACCGCCAAGUGACCUCCGAGCAAUGUACCGGUUCACUCGAUCUGUUCUUUCUCUCCCCGAUACGUCCUCUCGCAGCGCCCUUGCAUAACUGGGCCAUCAACAGCUUGCCCUGGUACCAGCUGAAAGGGCCCAAUCGACCUUUCUGGGUUGGCAACUCAUGCUGACCAAGCUGGAGCUGCCUCGCGCGGCCGAACGAUCGCUAGCUCCUCGCGGAAGCUAGCUGCGCUGGCUCCCGUAAGAAGCUGGCCUAAACAGAAGCCAGCGAGCUUCCGAACACGCCCUUAGUGUGCAUUUGCUUUUGAAGCACUUCUCUUCUUCGUAAUCAGUCAAUUAGGCUACAAAACUGCUACUUCUCUGUUCAUAUACGCUUAUCAAUAUGUAUGAUGCUCUCACAUAAUGUAUUUUGUGAAUGUGCACUGCCAGUAUUGCAUUUCUACUGCUGUAUUUUAUUUUCCCAAUCAGUAAGAUGGUACUGUUACUA